GAGCCCGUUGCUCAAUAGUUGAGCGUUGGACUCAAAUACCAAAGGUCGCGUGUUCGAAUCCCAGGUUUU
rnacentral:tRNA from 1 species